rnacentral:rRNA from 1 species
GGAGGAAAAGAAACCAACAGGGAUUGCCCUAGUAACGGCGAGUGAAGCGGCAACAGCUCAAAUUUGAAAGCUGGCCUUCGGGUCCGCAUUGUAAUUUGUAGAGGAUGCUUUGGGUGAAACGCCAGUCUAAGUUCCUUGGAACAGGACGUCAUAGAGGGUGAGAAUCCCGUAUGUGACUGGAAAUGUUAACCUAUGUAAAGCUCCUUCGACGAGUCGAGUUGUUUGGGAAUGCAGCUCUAAAUGGGAGGUAAAUUUCUUCUAAAGCUAAAUAUUGGCGAGAGACCGAUAGCGCACAAGUAGAGUGAUCGAAAGAUGAAAAGCACUUUGGAAAGAGAGUUAAAAAGCACGUGAAAUUGUUGAAAGGGAAGCGCUUGCAAUCAGACUUGUUUAAACUGUUCGGCCGGUCUUCUGACCGGUUUACUCAGUUUGGACAGGCCAGCAUCAGUUUCGGCGGCCGGAUAAAGGCUCUGGGAAUGUGGCCUUCACUUCGGUGAAGGUGUUAUAGCCCAGGGUGUAAUACGGCCAGCCGGGACUGAGGUCCGCGCUCGGCUAGGAUGC